AUGGAGCCGCUCCUUCUCGAGACACCAUUGGUCUCGGGGGUUUUCUUGACCCCCGUCCAAGGGUUUUCUCAGGUCGGCGGGCCGUCCUUCUCGACCUCCGGCGUGGCGUUGAGCACGGGGCCGAUGCCGCAGGCCGUCGCCGGGGCCAGCUCGUCCUCUGCUCCGCCACCUCUAUCGUUCCCGCCGGCGUUUUCACCCUGGCCUCGGUUCGCUGCGGCUGUGCGUGCUCCGACUGACUGGGAUGUGCCGGGUGGAGGAGCUCAGGUCAUGGCCGGAGCUGAGAGUGCCGAGGAUUUCAUCCCCACGAACAGGUGGCUAAGGACAGUGGACCUGCCUGGCAGGAUCGCCUUCAUGAGCGUGCCUCGUUCAAGGGGACGAUCUACAAGGCAGGGCCACGAGGAGAGAGCCAGGGAGCCGAUGAGAUUCUACCAGCAGAUCAAGAACAACGAGGACCUCGCCAUGCUCGUCAUCCCUCCCAAGUUCGUGGAGGUGAUGAACACCUGGCUGGUGAUCAAGCGCCUCCCGCGCGUGGUCAGGCUCUCGGCCAACAAGCGGUGCAUGUUCUGGGUGCAGGUCCAGAACUUCGAGGGCCACAUGGUGCUUGGCCGGGGGUGGAACUACUUCUGUCGCCGCCACCACAUCGUCCCCAGCGACCUCAUCGUUGUGCGCAUCUCGGGACUCGGACUGAAGGUUCAGAUCUACAACCACGACUCAUCAGUGAUGUGCAGGUACCGUUGCAGCAGGCACAACUGCCUUGGUGGCAUCGAGCGGGCUAUGUAG
rnacentral:rRNA from 1 species